rnacentral:tRNA from 1 species
GGCUCGGUAGUUUAGUUGGUAAAGCGCUCGUCGUGCAUACAAGAGUCCUGGGUUCAAAUCCCAGCCGAGCAC